rnacentral:lncRNA from 1 species
AAAAGUUUUAAAUUGAUUGAAAUUUUUUGGCACGAUUUUUGUGUGAUUGACUGAGUUUAAGUCGGGCAACACCUCGAACCCUGUUCCGGCGAGGGAUACGGGUGAGGGGUGUUACAGCAGCGGCUAAGGUUAGGGUUUUUGGGUGAAGAAGACAAUCAAUAGUGCAGCCUAUUUAUAGAUUUUAGGGCACACGGCCAGGCAACACGCCCGUGUUCCCCAAUUUUAGCCCGUGUGAUUCGCGAAUUUUGAGUUUGGGCACGUCUAACAUUUAGUACAAGCCCGUGUUCAUUGGGCGUGUGGGUGCACACGACCGUGUCUGGCAUUGUUCGC